GGGCUGUAGCUCAGUUGGCUAGAGCACCUGCUUUGCAAGCAGGGGGUCGUCGGUUCGAAUCCGAUCAGCUCC
rnacentral:tRNA from 1 species